UUAUUAUAUACACAAGGUCUGGAUAGGAGGUAUUCUGCAACCUGAUUGGUUCUCUACUAGCAGGAUAUAUUAGCUCAUAUCCGCUAGUAGAGAAAAACAAAAUGGCGGCUAAAAUUGAAUUUCCGAUGUUUUGCGAACGAGAAAACGGCAAGUUGUUCGCUUUUUAUAGCCUUUACAGGAUUAAAAACACAAUGAAAAAACUCGCACAAAUUGUUUACAGGUUAGCAAAUGAAUUUUUAAAAUUUAAAAUGGUUAAAAAUAUAUAUUUUGGAAAAAAUAAUCGGCCGAAAGAGCGAAGAUAAAAACAUAAACAAAAUAGAAAAAUAUUGAAAAUAACAGAAAAGCAAAGUCUGUGAAUUCAGACCUUGUGUAUAUAAUAAAACAGUUAUUCCACUCACUCUCGUCGAAUAUGAGCGAUAGCCGAUUCGGCGCUACGCGCCUUAUCGGCUAUCAGCUCAUAUUCGACUCGAGUUCGUAGAAUAACUGUUAAAUAUAU